rnacentral:rRNA from 1 species
GAGUUUGAUCCUGGCUCAGAACGAACGCUGGCGGCGUGCUUAACACAUGCAAGUCGAACGGGAUCCAGAGCUUGCUCUGGUGAGAGUGGCGCACGGGUGAGUAACGCGUGGAUAACCUGCCCUGGUAUCUGGAAUAACAUCUCGAAAGGGGUGCUAAUACCGGAUAAGCCUACGGAGCCUUCGGUCUCUGCAGGAAAAGGUGGCCUCUAUUUAUAAGCUACCGUAUCAGGAUGGGUCCGCGUACCAUUAGCUAGUUGGUGGGGUAAUGGCCUACCAAGGCGACGAUGGUUAGCUGGUCUGAGUGGAUGAUCAGCCACACUGGAACUGAGACACGGUCCAGACUCCUACGGGAGGCAGCAGUGGGGUAAUUUUGCGCAAGUGGGGGAAACCCUGACGCAGCAACGCCGCGUGAGUGAUGAAGGCUUUCGGGCGUAAAGCUCUGUCAGAGGGGAAGAAAUGGGGCGUGCUAAUACCACGUCUUCUUGACCGGUACCCUACAAAGGAACACCGGCUAACUCCGUG